AACCCCUCAAGCUCAGCUUGGUGUUGGGCGCUUGUCCCGCCUCCGGCGAGGACUCGCCUCGAAUCAAUUGGCGGCCUCCGUGUCGGGCUAUCGAGCGCAGCAGAUCAGCGCCUCGGGCCCAGCGCGCCGGCGUCCAGGAAGCACCCCAUCA
rnacentral:misc_RNA from 1 species